rnacentral:rRNA from 1 species
UGCGUAGGUGGCCAUGUAAGCGCGGGGUGAAAGGCGAUAGCUUAACUAUUGUAAGCCUUGCGAACUGUGUGGCUUGAGUGCAGGAGAGGAAAGUGGAAUUCCUAGUGUAGCGGUGAAAUGCGUAGAUAUUAGGAGGAACACCAGUGGCGAAGGCGACUUUCUGGACUGUAACUGACACUGAGGCACGAAAGCGUGGGGAGCAAACA